GACCCCUGAGAAUGGGCAAAGAGAUACCUGUCGGUGGUGUUGCUCUUACAUCAGUCAGGGGCAGAGUAGAUGGCAGACCUUUGUCCAUCCUAACUUGAUGCCUGGCUUAGUGAACAGAGCAGUUUUAUGCCUAGGAGUCAAAA
rfam:Mus musculus chromosome 3, GRC primary reference assembly.